rnacentral:rRNA from 1 species
UUCCAGACUCCUAGGGAGGCAGCAGUGAGGAAUAUUGGUCAAUGGGCGGGAGCCUGAACCAGCCAAGUCGCGUGAGGGAUGACGGCCCUAUGGGUUGUAAACCUCUUUUGCCGGGGAGCAAAGUGCCGCACGUGUGCGGUUUGGAGAGUACCCGGAGAAAAAGCAUCGGCUAACUCCGUGCCAGCAGCCGCGGUAAUACGGAGGAUGCGAGCGUUAUCCGGAUUUAUUGGGUUUAAAGGGAGCGUAGAUGGGUUGUUAAGUCAGUUGUGAAAGUUUGCGGCUCAACCGUAAAAUUGCAAUUGAUACUGGCAGUCUUGAGUACAGUUGAGGUAGGCGGAAUUCGUGGUGUAGCGGUGAAAUGCUUAGAUAUCACGAAGAACCCCGAUUGCGAAGGCAGCGCACCGGCGCCCUACUGACGCUCAGGCACGAAAGCGUGGGUAUCGAACGGGAUUAGAUACCCCAGUAGA